AUAGCGUAUAUUAAAGUUGUUGCAGUUAAAAAGCUCGUAGUUGAACUUCAGACCUGGCCGGGUGGUCUGCCUCACGGUAUGUACUGUCUGGCUGGGUCUUACCUCUUGGUGAGCCGGCAUGCCCUUACUGGGUGUGUCGGGGAACCAGGACUUUUACCUUGAGAAAAUUAGAGUGUUCAAAGCAGGCCUAUGCCUGAAUACAUUAGCAUGGAAUAAUAAAAUAGGACGUGCGGUUCUAUUUUGUUGGUUUCUAGAGUCGCCGUAAUGAUUAAUAGGGAUAGUUGGGGGCAUUAGUAUUCAGUUGCUAGAGGUGAAAUUCUUGGAUUUACUGAAGACUAACUACUG
rnacentral:rRNA from 1 species